rnacentral:lncRNA from 1 species
CUUCAGAGAAGUAGGAAGUUCACUACAUUUCUGUUCUCAGUCACAGAAGUGUUACCUACUAAACAAAUAUCCCCAGUUUCCUGCUGCCCAGAUAGUCCCAAGCUGAGACUGCACAAGCGCCUGCUUCUCCUUGUACUGUACCCAGUCUCCUAUUGCAUCGCAUCCUUCUGACACCAGCUAAGUCCUGCUGCUGUCAGGUACAGCUGGAUAACUGUCUGCAGUGAUGGAGUGGCUGCCAACCCCGUUGUUUGGUAUUUUUUUCCUUCCUGCUUGAAACUUCUACUUUAGAACUUCACUGGAAUCAAGCUUUGUAGUACAUAGACAGUGGAAAUGUUGCCUGGGAGAAAUAAGAGAACGACUGUGAAAGUACAGAACCUAUAGAGAGGAGAAAAGUAAGGACAACCUACCUGGUCACCCCUGAAG